AACGCAUAUCGCAGUCCAAGCUG
rnacentral:ncRNA from 2 species